ensembl:snRNA U2 U2 spliceosomal RNA
AUCGUCUUCUCGGCCUUUUGGCUAAGGCUCAAGUGUAGUAUCUGUUCUUUAUCAUGUUUAUCUGAUACGUCCCUACUCAGGGGGGACCUUUAUAGUAAUGAUUUUUUUGGAGCAGGAUAUGGAAUAGGGCGGCUUGUCGUUCCACUCAACGCAUCGACCCGGUAUUCAGUAUUUCUGGGACAUCGGUUUGCACCCCCU